GUUGAACGCUAGCGGGAUGCCUUACACAUGCAAGUCGAACGGCAGCGCGGACUUCGGUCUGGCGGCGAGUGGCGAACGGGUGAGUAAUGUAUCGGAACGUGCCCAGUAGCGGGGGAUAACUACUCGAAAGAGUAGCUAACACCGCAUACGCCCUACGGGGGAAAGGGGGGGAUCGCAAGACCUCUCACUAUUGGAGCGGCCGAUAUCGGAUUAGCUAGUUGGUGAGGUAAAGGCUCACCAAGGCGACGAUCCGUAGCUGGUUUGAGAGGACGACCAGCCACACUGGGACUGAGACACGGCCCAGACUCCUACGGGAGGCAGCAGUGGGGAAUUUUGGACAAUGGGGGCAACCCUGAUCCAGCCAUUCCGCGUGUGCGAUGAAGGCCUUCGGGUUGUAAAGCACUUUUGGCAGGAAAGAAAUCGCACGGAUUAAUACUCUGUGUGGAUGACGGUACCUGCAGAAUAAGCACCGGCUAACUACGUGCCAGCAGCCGCGGUAA
rnacentral:rRNA from 1 species